rnacentral:rRNA from 2 species
UAAGGUCACGGCGAGACGAGCCGUUUAUCAUUACGAUAGGUGUCAAGUGGAAGUGCAGUGAUGUAUGCAGCUGAGGCAUCCUAACAGACCGAGAUAUUUGAAC